GACGUAGGGCGCAAGCGUUGUCCGGAUUUAUUGGGCGUAAAGCGUGCGCAGGCGGUUAUGUAAGACAGUUGUGAAAUCCCCGGGCUCAACCUGGGAACUGCAUCUGUGACUGCAUAGCUAGAGUACGGUAGAGGGGGAUGGAAUUCCGCGUGUAGCAGUGAAAUGCGUAGAUAUGCGGAGGAACACCCGAUGGCGAAGGCAGCCCCCUGGGCCAACACUGACGCUCAGGCACGAAAGCGUGGGGAGCAAACAGG
rnacentral:rRNA from 1 species